rnacentral:rRNA from 1 species
AACAAUACAAGGCAGUUAAAAUGCUUUGUAAUUGGAAUGAUAGAAAUUUAAACCACUUUUUAAAGUAUCAAUUGGAGGGCAAGUCUGGUGCCARCAGCCGCGGUAAUUCCAGCUCCAAUAGCGUAUAUUAAAAUUGUUGCAGUUAAAAAGCUCGUAGUUGAAGUUCUGCUGAAAGUAACCGGUCUGCUUUUAAUAAAAGUGGUAUCUUGGUAUGUAUUUAGCAAUGAUGUCCUUUGAAGUGUUUUUUACUUUAUUGUAAUAAAGCAUAUUCAGGACUUUUACUUUGAGAAAAUUAGAGUGUUUCUAGCAGGCUGACGCUUUGAAUACUGCAGCAUGGAAUAAUAAGAUAGGAUUUUAGUUCUACAUUAUUGGUUUUAAGAGCUAAAUUAAUGAUUGAUAGGGACAGUUGGGGGCAUUUGUAUUUAACUGUCAGAGGUGAAAUUCUUAGAUUUGUUAAAGACAAACUACUGCGAAAGCAUUUGCCAAAGAUGUUUUCAUUAAUCAAGAACGAAAGUUAGGGGAUCGAAGACGAUCAGAUACCGUCGUAGUCUUAACUAUAAACUAUGCCGACUAGAGAUUGGAGGUCGUCUUUAUAAAC